rnacentral:rRNA from 1 species
UACGGAGGGUGCAAGCGUUAUCCGGAUUCACUGGGUUUAAAGGGUGUGUAGGCGGGUAUUUAAGUCAGUGGUGAAAUCUCCGGGCUCAACCCGGAAACUGCCAUUGAUACUAUUUAUCUUGAAUUCUGUUGAGGUAGGCGGAAUACAUCAUGUAGCGGUGAAAUGCUUAGAUAUGAUGUAGAACACCGAUUGCGAAGGCAGCUUACUAAACAGAUAUUGACGCUGAGGCACGAAAGCGUGGGGAUCAAACAGG